GAUGAACGCUGGCGGCGUGCCUAAUACAUGCAAGUCGAGCGAACGGACGAGAAGCUUGCUUUUCUGAUGUUAGCGGCGGACGGGUGAGUAACACGUGGAUAACCUACCUAUAAGACUGGGAUAACUUCGGGAAACCGGAGCUAAUACCGGAUAAUAUUUUGAACCGCAUGGUUCAAAAGUGAAAGACGGUCUUGCUGUCACUUAUAGAUGGAUCCGCGCUGCAUUAGCUAGUUGGUAAGGUAACGGCUUACCAAGGCAACGAUGCAUAGCCGACCUGAGAGGGUGAUCGGCCACACUGGAACUGAGACACGGUCCAGACUCCUACGGGAGGCAGCAGUUGGGAAUCUUCCGCAAUGGGCGAAAGCCUGACGGAGCAACGCCGCGUGAGUGAUGAAGGUCUUCGGAUCGUAAAACUCUGUUAUUAGGGAAGAACAUAUGUGUAAGUAACUGUGCACAUCUUGACGGUACCUAAUCAGAAAGCCACGGCUAACUACGUG
rnacentral:rRNA from 1 species